rnacentral:lncRNA from 1 species
AGCUAGCUUCCCUGCUGCAUCACCCAGCAGUUCAGAAUGGCAGCAGCGGCCACGCUCUCAACAUCAGCCCAACAUCAGUGACUUUUCCUCCAUGCCUGAUUUCACUGCGGUCAGAUCCACUGUCUCCUCCAACCAGACUGAGAGACUGGAGCAAAGAAGAAGACGUGCAUGAGCGACAAAAGAGGAGGAGGAGGAGGUCAAGUAGUGAUGUGUCCACAGUGAUGUGCUGCUUCAAAAGGGGAGGAGUCAGAAUACAGCUUUCUUCCUCCGCUUCUGAUUUCUGCAAACCCUCAGAGAUCAGGUAA